CCUACGGGAGGCAGCAGUGGGGAAUUUUGCGCAAUGGGCGAAAGCCUGACGCAGCAACGCCGCGUGAGAGAUGAAGGCCUUCGGGUUGUAAACCUCUUUUAACCGGGAAGAACCUCUGGUUCGCAAAUAGCGGGCCGGACUGACGGUACCGGUUGAAUAAGCCACGGCUAACUCUGUGCCAGCAGCCGCGGUAAU
rnacentral:rRNA from 1 species